rnacentral:tmRNA from 1 species
GGGGGCGUCCCGGUUUCGACGGGGAUGCAGAGCGGGGAUAAGCGAGCGGUGGCCGCCUGCCCACCAUAAAACGGGCAAAAGUCUUAAUUGACGAAGUUUCUUAUAGCAAUACAGGUCGCUCAACCAGCUACCUGUUGGCAGCGUAAGCUGUCCGUCCUGUCGGUGAGAAUCGCGUAGCCGAAUUUAGGGCGUGGAUAACGCGGUGCACGUGAACGGGUGACGCUCGAUAGCCCGUCAGGUAUAAUUGAGCUGGAAUGUGCCGGGUUUGGCGGGUGACCCGGUAAUGUUUGAAACGCUACGGCAAAAUAACCGCCUGCGCUCGGAGAAGGUUCCCGUGAAACGUUUUCGGACAGGGGUUCGAUUCCCCUCGCCUCCACCA